AGCGAACGCUGGCGGCAGGCUUAACACAUGCAAGUCGAGCGCAUCCUUCGGGGUGAGCGGCAGACGGGUGAGUAACGCGUGGGAACGUACCCUUUCCUACGGAAUAGCUCCGGGAAACUGGAAUUAAUACCGUAUACGCCCUUAGGGGGAAAGAUUUAUCGGGGAAGGAUCGGCCCGCGUUGGAUUAGCUAGUUGGUGGGGUAAAGGCCUACCAAGGCGACGAUCCAUAGCUGGUCUGGGAGGAUGAUCAGCCACAUUGGGACUGAGACACGGCCCAAACUCCUACGGGAGGCAGCAGUGGGGAAUAUUGGACAAUGGGCGCAAGCCUGAUCCAGCCAUGCCGCGUGAGUGAUGAAGGCCUUAGGGUUGUAAAGCUCUUUCAGUAGGGAAGAUAAUGACGGUACCUACAGAAGAAGCCCCGGCUAACUUCGUGCCAGCCGCCGCGGUAA
rnacentral:rRNA from 1 species